rnacentral:rRNA from 1 species
AGAUUGAACGCUGGCGGCGUGCCUAACACAUGCAAGUCGAGCGGGUACAGGUGUAAGGCAAUACAUGCUGACGAGCGGCGAACGGGUGAGUAAUGCUUUGGAAUCUUCCCAGUAGUGGGGAAUAACCAGUCGAAAGAUUGGCUAAUACCGCAUACGUCUGUAAAGGGAAAGCGGGGGCUCGUAAGACCUCGCGCUAUUGGAUGAGCCAAAGUCGGAUUAGCUAGUUGGUGGGGUAACGGCCUACCAAGGCGACAAUCCGUAGCUGGUCUGAGAGGACGACCAGCCACACCGGAACUGAGACACGGUCCGGACUCCUACGGGAGGCAGCAGUGGGGAAUAUUGGACAAUGGGGGAAACCCUGAUCCAGCGACGCCGCGUGUGUGAAGAAGGCCUGCGGGUUGUAAAGCACUUUUAGUGGGGACAAAAGCUACGGAUUAAUACUCUGUGGUCUUGAUUUAACCCAAAGAAAAGCACCGGCUAACUCUGUGCCAGCAGCCGCGGUAA